rnacentral:rRNA from 2 species
UAGGGAAUUUUCGGCAAUGGGCGAAAGCCUGACCGAGCAACGCCGCGUGAGGGAAGAAGGUUUUCGGAUCGUAAACCUCUGUCUUUGGGGACGAGAGAGGACGGUACCCAAGGAGGAAGCCACGGCUAACUACGUGCCAGCAGCCGCGGUAAUACGUAGGUGGCAAGCGUUGUCCGGAAUUACUGGGCGUAAAGGGCGUGUAGGCGGUUUUUUAAGUCAGGCGUGAAAACCCAGGGCUUAACCUUGGGAUUGCGUUUGAAACUGGAAGACUUGAGGAUCGGAGAGGGCAGUGGAAUUCCCAGUGUAGCGGUGAAAUGCGUAGAUAUUGGGAGGAACACCAGUGGCGAAGGCGGCUGCCUGGACGACACCUGACGCUGAGGCGCGAAAGCUAGGGUAGCAAACGGG